rnacentral:misc_RNA from 1 species
GAUGAAGAACGUAGCGAAAUGCGAUAAGUAGUGUGAAUUGCAGAAUUCAGUGAAUCAUCGAAUCUUUGAACGCACAAUGCGCCCCAUGGUAUUCCAUGGGGCAUGCCUGUUCGAGCGUCAUUUGUACCUUCAAGCUCUGCUUGGUGUUGGGUGUUUGUCUCGCCUCUGCGUGUAGACUCGCCUCAAAACAAUUGGCAGCCGGCGUAUUGAUUUCGGAGCGCAGUACAUCUCGCGCUUUGCACUCAUAACGACGACGUCCAAAAGUACAUUUUUACACUCUUGACCUCGGAUCAGGUAGUGAUACCCGCUGAACUUAAGCAUAUCAAUAAGCGGAGGA